GAUGAACGCUGGCGGCGUGCCUAAUACAUGCAAGUCGAGCGAACAGACGAGGAGCUUGCUCCUCUGACGUUAGCGGCGGACGGGUGAGUAACACGUGGAUAACCUACCUAUAAGACUGGGAUAACUUCGGGAAACCGGAGCUAAUACCGGAUAAUAUAUUGAACCGCAUGGUUCAAUAGUGAAAGACGGUUUUGCUGGCACUUAUAGAUGGAUCCGCGCCGCAUUAGCUAGUUGGUAAGGUAACGGCUUACCAAGGCAACGAUGCGUAGCCGACCUGAGAGGGUGAUCGGCCACACUGGAACUGAGACACGGUCCAGACUCCUACGGGAGGCAGCAGUAGGGAACCUUCCGCAAUGGGCGAAAGCCUGACGGAGCAACGCCGCGUGAGUGAUGAAGGUCUUCGGAUCGUAAAACUCUGUUAUUAGGGAAGAACAAAUGUGUAAGUAACUAUGCACGUCUUGACGGUACCUAAUCAGAAAGCAACGGCUAACUACGUG
rnacentral:rRNA from 1 species